GACGAACGCUGGCGGCGUGCCUAAUACAUGCAAGUAGAACGCUGAAGGAGUAGCUUGCUCUUCUGGAUGAGUUGCGAACGGGUGAGUAACGCGUAGGUAACCUGCCCUGUAGCUGGGGAUAACUAUUGGAAACGAUAGCUAAUACCGCAUAAGAGUAGAUGUUGCAUGACAUUUACUUAAAAGUUGCAACUGCAUCACUACCAGAUGGACCUGCGCUGCAUUAGCUAGUUGGUGCGGUAACGGCUUACCAAGGCGACGAUACAUAGCCGACCGGAGAGGGGGAUCGGCCACACUGGGACUGUGACACGGCCCAGACUCCUACGGGAGGCAGCAGUAGGGAAUCUUCGGCAAUGGGCGGAAGACUGACCGAGCAACGCCGCGUGCGUGAAGAAGGUCUUCGGAUCGUAAAGCACUGUUGUAAGAGAAGAACGAGUGUGAGAGUGGAAAGAUCACAGUGUGACGGUAACUGAUCAGAAAGCGACGGCUAACUACGUG
rnacentral:rRNA from 1 species